GCUCAGGACGAACGCUUGCGGCGUGCCUAAGAAAUGCAAGUCGAGCGGUCUUUCCGCAAGGGGAGACAGCGGCGAACGGUCGCGUAACACGUAAGCAACCUGCCCCGAAGACCGGGACAACAUCUCGAAAGGGGUGCUAAUACCGGAUGUGGCCCCGGACCGGCAUCGGUCUGGGAUUAAAGCCUGUGCAGGUGAAAGCCUGUACAAGGGCUUCGGGAGGGGCUUGCGGCCUAUCAGCUAGUUGGUGGGGUAACGGCCUACCAAGGCGACGACGGGUAGCUGGUCUGAGAGGACGUCCAGCCGGACUGGGACUGAGAGACGGCCCAGACUCCUACGGGGGGCAGCAAUUAGGAAUCUUGCGCAAUGGGCGAAAGCCUGACGCAGCGACGCCGCGUGGAGGAGGAAGUCCUUCGGGAUGUAAACUCCUUUUGAGUGGGAAGAAACAAAUGACGGUACCACUUGAAUAAGCCCCGGCUAACUACGUGCCAGCAGCCGCGGUAAUACGUAGGGGGCGAGCGUUGUCCGAAGUUACUGGGCGUAAAGCGCGCGUAGGCGGGUUGGUAAGUGAGAGGUGAAAGGCUGGGGCUCAACUCCAGCAGUGCCUCUCAUACUGCCAGUCUUGAGGGCGGUAGAGAGAAGUGGAAUGGCUGGUGUAGCGGUGAAAUGCGUAGAUAUCAGUCGGAACACCGGUGGCGAAGGCGGCUUCUUGGGCCGUACCUGACGCUGAGGCGCGAAAGCCAGGGGAGCGAACGGGAUUAGAUACCCCGGUAGUCCUGGCCGUAAACGAUGGAUACUAGGUGUCGGGGGUAUCGACCCCUCCGGUGCCGCAGCUAACGCAAUAAGUAUCCCGCCUGGGGAGUACGGCCCGCAAGGUUGAAACU
rnacentral:rRNA from 1 species